AGCUCCAAUAGUGUAUAUUAAAGUUGUUGCGGUUAAAAAGCUGUAGUUGGAUUUCUGCUGAGGACGACCGGUCCGCCCUCUGGGUGAGUAUCUGGCUCGGCCUUGGCAUCUCCUUGGAGAACGCAACUGCACUUGACUGUGUGGUGUGGUUCCAGGACUUUUACUUUGAGGAAAUUAAAGUGUUUCAAGCAGGCGCUUGCCUUGAAUACAUUAGCAUGGAAUAAUAAGAUAAGACCUUGGUUUUAUUUUGUUGGUUUCUAGAGCUGAGGUAAUGAUUAAUAUGGAUAGUUGGGGGCAUCUGUAUUUAACUGUCAGACGUGAAAUUCUUGGAUUUGUUAAAGACGGGCUACUGCGAAAGCAUUUGCCAAGGAUGUUUUCA
rnacentral:rRNA from 1 species